CAUAGGAAAAUGCUGUCUGUUUUUAAGUUAUUUUUUAGUGUAAGUCUCACAGAGUCAUAAAUGCUCUCACAUGUUGACUGGGGGCCUUAUCCUGAAAUCCAGACUUGUGUUUCAUUCUUAUGAAUUAUCCCAACAUAAGCCAGUGCUGGAGGCUGACUGUAAACAGGGGUUAGAGAAUUGAGCUGACUUUGACCUAGCAAUGGAGCAUAGCUCUGGAAACAUUUGCCGGAGAUACGGCACUUUGUGUCACGGACAGGCCAGCUGAAACUCUGAGAUUGUGCAUGGCAGUAGGCAUGCAGGGAUGUCUACCAGUCUCCAUUUAGUUGAUUUUGGAAAGCAUGAAGUGUUUGAGAGGAUUAGAGACAGCAGAAGAAGAGGAAUUCAGGGUGGAGCCCUGAUUCCUGAGCUCAGUGUCCAUUGAUGCCUAAAAGUUUGCUGACUGGCUCCCAGCUCCAGGCAGGAGUGAGAAAACCCUUGGAGGUUGUCCAGCCUGAUGGGAGAGGAUGGACUGAUGCAUCUUCAUUAUUGGGAGCUGCUCUAGAAUAUGAUCUUCUGGCCCAGUCAAGCCUCUUGCAAGGGUUUCUGGGCGGGGCACUUCAGCCAAUCACAUUUGUUGAAGAAGAUCUCACAGACAUUUCAACUUGGCCUUGUUUCCUGCCAAUAGCACCUGGCAAGAGAGCUAUAUGGUGUGGCCAUUAUUUCUGUGAAAAACUGCUCAGUUUUCUUCAAGCAUUUCUCCCUAUGCUGUUUUACCAUCUGUUGAUGAAUGUCACUCCAGACUGCUGAGAUGAUGUCUUGAAGCUUUCUCCUCCACUGUGUCCUGGAUACUCAUCUUUCUCAUUUUCAGCUGUUACCUGGCAUGAAUUUGCACAGAAGAACCUCCCCUGUCAUCUGAAAGCCAGAAAAAUCCAUUCAGAUUAGGAGACGGAAGGAGAUUUAGAAAGAGUCUCUCUUGGAUCGUGCUUUUGCCUUCACAAAAGCCAUAUUUUUAUUAUGCCCUUACAUAACCUGUCCCCUGUUUCAAAUACUGCUUGAAAAAAAUCCUCCUUCGUACAAGAACAUGACCAGCUGAGUAAAUAAAAAAACCUGUUGAACUUGUGGAUUGUACUUA
rnacentral:lncRNA from 1 species